rnacentral:rRNA from 1 species
UUAUUGGAGAGUUUGAUCCUGGCUCAGGACGAACGCUGGCGGCGUGCCUAAUACAUGCAAGUCGAGCGAAUCACAGGGAGCUUGCUCCCGGUGGUUAGCGGCGGACGGGUGAGUAACACGUGGGCAACCUGCCUGUAAGACUGGGAUAACUUCGGGAAACCGGAGCUAAUACCGGAUAAUUUCUUCCCUCGCA